CCAAGCCGGAGGCUCCCACUAUGAGCCCGGAGUCUGAGCAGCCAGAUGACACAGGAGGACCCUUGGAAAUGUGAAACUGCACAAGAGCACAUGAUUUGAACGCAGCAUGUAAUAACAGCUAACGUUUAUCCAGUGUUUCCUCUCAGCCAGGCGAUAUUCCAAGAGCCUUAAGUAUUUUUUUUCCAGUAGGAACUCACCUACCAUGUCCUGCAAAGAAUGAAUCUCUUCCUCAGUGGCAGCUCUUGGUCCUCAUUUCUAUUUAGAAGUUCCUUGACUUUUAAUCUCUAUCUGCAUUUUCUGUUAGCCAGCUGCCACCCAAGAUUGGGCUAAACCCUCUGCCCCUUGUUAAAAAGGAAAAAGAAGAAAAAGAGAACACACGCAGCACAAGCUUCUAAUACGUAUAUUCACAACUUCUCUGCAAGGCGCUUAAGAAAACUAAAAGGUUACCAGAAAAUACUAUGCAAGAUGCCAAGACAGAGGGGCAAUUAAUAAUCCUACCCAGUUGUGACACCUUUCAACCAUGGCAAUGACCAGCAUGAUAAUAUAGCCAUAAAGGUGUGAAUGCCUUUCUUUACGGAUAACGGAGACCGUCACAGGAAUGCACAGCUGGACACAGUGCAGACAUCAACAGAUCCUGGGCAGCCACACCCCAAUGGCUAUAUCUACGUUACAACUCCUGCAUUUAUGACUCUGCAAACAUCACAGAAGAGGGGAUAGGAAGAUUGUAAGAAUGAAACACCAGGAAGUUGGUUGUGAAACAGUCUUUCCUAGAAAUGUCUGCAUAAGCAAAAUCUGAACAAUGGCCUAUCAGUAGACGUGCUGACGUGGAAAGGAAAACCCUCACAGGAUCACAUCCGUGGAUAAGGCAACUGAUGACUGCUGGGAAUGGGAGCGUUCUCCUCUAUCAGGGAUGAGCGCUCUAAUUAGCUAUCCAUACAAACAGUAUCACUGAAACUGUAUAUACACAAACAGCAGAAUGGACUCCACAGGUUGUGUUUUUUAUAUUUGUGUAUUAAAAACAUGUAGCAAUAAUAAUGGGAUAAGAAGAGGCUAUCAAUUUGAGAGUUGUGGCAACUUGGAAUUAUCUAGAGGAAGA